rnacentral:lncRNA from 1 species
CAUGAAAAAAUAAUAAGACACACAUUUCGUCCACCUCACCUUGACCGGGUCGCAUGCUCUGUAAUCACCUACUUAACUGUUUAACUUGGUCGCCUGCACAUCUUGGUAUGUACAAAAAAUAAGAAUGUGGGGCGGGGGUGUAUUAAGAACAUGACUGGCAGGUCGUGACAUGAAUAGUAGGAAGUGCCUGUCGAUUACGUCAUGAAAGCCUGCCCUAGUCACGUGUGGCGCAUACCAGCGCACAACGGCCCGCGGUAUGCCACAUGCAAUUCGCAGUCAAUAUCUACCCAUGAACCUUGAAAAUAUAAAACACUUUGCAUAUGUGUUAAACAAGAGAGGGACAUGUUGCAUGUUACAGUUGGCGAUUUUAAUGUAGGAGAUAAAGGCUGACAAAGGUUCUGAAACGACACUUAGCCAGCAACCACGCGUCACAGAUCGUCAUAAAUUAAUUACAUGAGCAGUUGCGCCGACUGUUGCGUAACAUCAGUUGUGGGGAUAAUAGCAGAGAUUAAUGAAUCAAAAUGUUUAUUUUACCGUUAUAUGCACAAGCUAAGAAAGGGUGAACUGGAGAAAAAGCCAAAGUUCUUCGGCUUGGCCAAGCCUCGGUCCCCCAGGACGGCAGUAGUUUAAGCCAAUACAACAGUGAGCAGCAUAUUACGAAGUCCAGUGCAGUGCAACACAUUAGUGCAUACUAUUAUUUCAACUGCAUAUAACAUAGGAAUGAAAGUAGAAUAGUAAAAAUACAAUGAGAGCAAUUAACGAUCGAAAAACGUUCUUACACAUACCAUAGAAAUCAAAGUGCAGUAAGAGCAAUAAGCGAUGGAAAGACUUUUUCGUUUUCUUUUUCUGGUGACAUGUUGUUAGGGAACUGCUACAAGAACAAGUGCAACAUUUUACUUUUGUUUAGCGGCAACACAUCAAUAUUUUGCGUAUCGAAGUAGAUAAGUACUGAAGUAAGUGUAUGACAAAGCCGUUGAUAUC